rnacentral:rRNA from 1 species
UACGUAGGGGGCGAGCGUUGUCCGGAGUUACUGGGCGUAAAGGGCCUGUAGGCGGUUCGGCGCGUUUCCGGUGCCAGCCCGUUGCUUCACGACGGGAGUGCCGGGAAGACGGUCGGACUGGGAGGGCCUCAGAGGGACAUAGAAUUCCGGGUGGAGUGGUGAAAUGCGUAGAGAUCCGGAGGAAUACCAAAGGCGAAGGCAGUGUCCUGGGAGGCGCCUGACGCUGAGGGGCGAAAGCCAGGGGA